GACGAACGCUGGCGGCGUGCUUAACACAUGCAAGUCGAGCGGUAAGGCCCUUCGGGGUACACGAGUGGCGAACGGGUGAGUAACACGUGGGUGAUCUGCCCUGCACUUCGGGAUAAGCCUGGGAAACUGGGUCUAAUACCGGAUAGGACUCCGGACUGCAUGGUCUGGGGUGGAAAGCUUUUGCGGUGUGGGAUGGGCCCGCGGCCUAUCAGCUUGUUGGUGGGGUGAUGGCCUACCAAGGCGACGACGGGUAGCCGGCCUGAGAGGGUGACCGGCCACACUGGGACUGAGAUACGGCCCAGACUACUACGGGAGGCAGCAGUGGGGAAUAUUGCACAAUGGGCGCAAGCCUGAUGCAGCGACGCCGCGUGAGGGAUGACGGCCUUCGGGUUGUAAACCUCUUUCAGCAUCGACGAAGCGAAAGUGACGGUAGGUGCAGAAGAAGGACCGGCCAACUACGUGCCAGCAGCCGCCGUAA
rnacentral:rRNA from 1 species